AAUACCGCUACGCCCAUUCCCCCUUACUAGACCGCCCUCACAGUAACGCCCCUUUGGCUGUUCAAGUUUCUGAACUCAACUCAGUGACAUGCUACCGAAUGACAACACAAGCGCCGCGCGGGACUUUUAAAAACGACUCACUGGAUGGAUUUCGCUGCAGCGAUCACUCAACUGUCGAUAUAAGAAGUUGGGGUUGAUGAUCCACAUGAUGGUGAUGGACCAGGACAGCUCUGGACCUCCUGACUGGCAGCUCCAUCCUCAACCUCUCUUCCUGCCCUUCACACAUGUGCAGGCAGCCAGUUUUCUGAAAGAUGGUUGAUGUCAGUACCAACAUGUUGUGAUGGAGGCUUCCACCUGAGCUGAACACAGAAACUUGCACACAGUGAUGGAAGCAGUCGUUCCUGUUCAGCAUCGAUAUGCCAGUAAUGGGUUUGAUGAGCCACAGCAUGGUGAUGGUCAAUCAGCAUCAGGACCAGGGCAGCUCACAAGGAGAACCUCCUGCCCUGCCUCGUCAUCCUCAACCUCCCAUCUCCCUGCUCUUCACACAUGUGCAGGCACGAAGCCAGUUUUCAGAGGGAGGGCUGAUGACACCAGCAGCUUUGGUUCUGAACCUGAUCAACCCAGCACCAACCACUGUGCCGCUCCUCCUCUGCCAACUGCACCACAUGGCUCCACCAUCUCAAAAAGGCACAGACACUACUCCACUUCCUGCGAAGGAUGAGAGAAGAGCCGACCGCCCCACAUCGGCACUCACCACCUUCUACAGGGGUGUCAUUGAGAGCAUCCUGACCAGCAGCCUCUCUGUCUGGCAUGGCAGCCGUCAAGCUGAAGACUAGAAGGCAGUACAGAGAGUGUGGUGAGCUCGGCAGAAAAGCUCAUAAGAUCACCCCGACCAGCCAUUCAGGAUCUGUACACUUCACACUGUUCCAAGAGGGCAAUGAACAUCAUAAAGACACAACUCAUCCAGCAUACAGACUGUCCUCCCUACUACCAUCAGGGAAGCGCUAGCCCGGCAUGCGGUGCCGCACAAGCACACUGGGAAACGGCUCUCCUCAACGUUCUGAAGAAAACCACAUGAAUAUUCAAAGGACACUGGAGAAUAUUCCAUGAACACUUCUUUCACCAUGCCACUUACACUUUACUCAUUGCACCUUAUAUACAGCAUCUUCACAUCACCUGUAUGAUCUCCUCCUGCCAUGUGUGUGUGUGUGUGUGUCCACUGUGUUUGUGUAUUUAUUGUCCAUCAGUAUGUUAUUCUUCUUAUUGCACACUGUUUGUGUCUCUGUGUGACUGUAUUUAUUGAAUGUAUCAGUCUGUAUUUCAUGUCAAUGCAUUACUUUUAGUUAUUAGUUAAACUGCACAUUGGAGACUGGUCAAACACAAUUUCAAACUUUGUGUUAACCCUCCAUAGAUUUUUGUCAAAAAAUGGAGUCUAAUCUACUGUACUAUUCAGGCUAUCAACAGACCACACAGUUGAGUGCUGUUUUAUGCACUCUGAAUAUGAGGAGAAGGAGGUGACCGUUCACACUUCAUAGUGUAAAAGUAAACAGAAAUAAAAUUUCACAUUUCA